rnacentral:rRNA from 1 species
GAUGAACGCUAGCGGCAGGCUUAAUACAUGCAAGUCGAGGGGUAGCAAGAUUGUAGCAAUACAAUUGUUGACGACCGGCAAACGGGUGCGGAACACGUACACAACCUUCCUACAAGUGGGGAAUAGCCCAGAGAAAUUUGGAUUAAUACCCCGUAACAUAGCGAUGUGGCAUCACAUUGCUAUUAUAGCUUCGGCGCCUGUUGAUGGGUGUGCGGCUGAUUAGAUAGUUGGCGGGGUAACGGCCCACCAAGUCUACGAUCAGUAGCUGAUGUGAGAGCAUGAUCAGCCACACGGGCACUGAGACACGGGCCCGACUCCUACGGGAGGCAGCAGUAAGGAAUAUUGGACAAUGGACGCAAGCCUGAUCCAGCCAUGCCGCGUGAAGGAUUAAGGUCCUCUGGAUUGUAAACUUCUUUUAUAAGGGACGAAAAAAGGUCUUUCUAGAUCGUCUGACGGUACCUUAUGAAUAAGCACCGGCUAACUCCGUGCCAGCCGCCGCCGUAAAAC